UUUUGCUAUCAGUUGAGUAUUUGUGAGAAGAAGAGUUAAGAACGCAUCACACGACGAACGCGAGAGUCGUUUUUUUUAUAACAUCCAAAACCUAUUGUAAGAAGGCUAGCAGACGACAAAGAAGUUAGUCUUGGAGACAGGUGGAACCCGGCGUACAUUUCCUUACAUAAAAUCAAUUUCUGAGGUCACGCUAUGGUACCUGUACAAUAUGUUUAUAGUUACGUUGUUUUGAUAUGUUUGUUGAAUAUAUAUCCAGUGCCAGUGGUCAAAGCUAGCGACAAUUCUAUCAAAAUGUGCAAUUCGACUAAAAUAGAUCAAAUAUAUUGCACAAGGAAUUCCUCCGUUUCGCAAAAUAAUACAAAAAAAAGUUUCUCAAUUCCUCAAGAAAGAUUAAUAACAACAAUGGUGAUCUCCACAGUUGGUGUCCUAACAAAUGGUCUUCUUAUUGUUGUCAUUGUGAAGGAUCCUUUAAGCAAACUAAGACGAGGACCGUGGAUUACUAUCUUAAGCUUAUCUAUAGCUGACAUCACUGCAUCUUUGUCCCAAUUCAUGAUUGUUGGAUUGGGUAGAUUGUUCGAGGUCAAACCAUCAGAAGCCUUCAUUUAUUCUGUCCUUUUCUUUUGAAUGUUUGGGGCUGCGGGCUCAUUUUUUUCACUUGACAUCACUCACAUGGCAAACUUACAUGAUUGCAAAGUAUCCCAAAUACAGACAACAAAUGUUAUCUACGAAGAAAAUUUACAUAUUAUGCGCCACAGUUUGGUUGAUUGCCAUUUGCAUGGCAUUUGGUGAACUCACACUAAUUUACAGCAAGAAAAAUGAACAGGUUAUGUACACCUUUAUCACAGUAUAUGCUGUCUUGGAAAUCGCUGUUUUACAUCAGAUCAUAUUGAAGUGUUUCAUACUUAAGGUUGUAUUGCAAAGUCAACAAGACACUAAAGUAAAUGCUAACCAGUACAACACUAAACACUUUGAAAUUGUAAAGGCAAUCAUUGUGCUGAAUGUCUUAUUACUGGUAACUGCAUUUCCUUAUUUUGUCGCCAAACAAGUGGAGUUUAUUCAAAGGCUUGGAAAAAUACAAAGUGAUUUGGCUUGGCGCUUUUCUUACUACUACGAACCAGUUGCCAUGGUGAAUUUCGCUGUCAAUCCAAUUGUGUAUGCACUGAGGCUUCCAGUUUAUCGAAACAGUAUGAAGGCGUUGUUUAAAAAGACUAGAAUUGUUUCCAUUCAAAAACCAGGGCAUUUAAUCUUUUCACUUCGUUUCCUUUGUUUUAUAAAUAUUUUAAAGGCGUCGCUCAGUUUGGACUAUUCAAGUGGAAAAAGAUGUUUGAAUGUUAAAACCUAAAAUAUACAGUGUAUGAACGAAGAGUGUUUGAUUGUUGUCUUCAACCUAUUUUUUAUUACUUUUUGCUUUUCCAUCUAAAAUUCAACGACGAACAAACCCAUGUAUACAUGUUUGACUUUGAAAAACGGAAUUAUUUUUGUCAUGCCAUUGAAGCUAUUGUACUCUGGUAUAUAGACUUUGUCUUACGGUCACCUUUCAUAGUUCUAUAAAACAUAACUGUAUUUUCUAGUUUUUUCUUUUUCCUUUCAAAUCUGCAUAUCAUUUUUAUUGUAUGAUUCAAUUAUGACAGAUAAAUUAAUGUGAAAGUCCAUAACAUGCGUGGUUAUUUUAUUGGUUAAUAUUGCCUGGUAUGACGACAUUGUAAUUUUCAAAUAAACUUUUUAUGAAAGUUUUGUUGACGUCAUGCUUGAUAUUUGAAGCUACGAUAAUAAUUUUCGUUAAAACACCACAUAUUAAAAUAUGUAUUGCAAGCCUUUUUCGUCAACGUAUAUUUCUAAAAGUGAUUUAUAUGUUUGCUCUUGUUUAGGCUACAUGUAUACAUGGCCACAAUUUGUGGCGGUUUAAAUUAUAUUUUAUGCAUGUAUAUUGGAUGUGUUUUAAUCCAAUCACACAACCUGCUGACAAACAUAAAACCCAUAUACCACCCCUCACCCCCAUUCUUUUUAUUGUCACUUACCCAUGUCUCGACGCUGUGUCUUGUCCUGUUUCAGAGUCAAGUAAACGUCGACCGAAACAGAAACGAAAGCCCGGUCGCAAUCCCAGAGUUCCAUUCACUCCCAAACAGCUGACGACCCUGGAAAACAAGUUUGAAACAAUGAAGUACUUGACAAGUGAUGAAGUUCGUAGUUUGUGUUUGGAACUGACGUUACCGGAAAACAAAAUCAAAAUAUGGUUUCAAAAUCGACGAGCAAGAGAAAAAGAAAAAGUUCACAAAGCAGCGAUGAAUAUGUUGACGUAAUGACAAUUGACGGGGAGAACAGUUAGCUAUGUAUGACGACACAUGCACUGAAAAUUAGUUAUAGUUUUUAUAGAGGUCUAUAGUUAGAAAAUCAGUUAUGCAAUCAUAGAGUUUGCAUUGUAGUAAUCUUGCACAGCGUACGUUCAACAGGACCUUUAUUUAUUGCUGUCAAUAUUCAAUAAUGAGCAUAGGAACUUCAUCGAUGACGUCAUUCGAGCAUUUCCGCUUACAAAGAGAAAACACUUUGAAUGCAAAGUUUCAUAAUGGAACACAUCGUAAAAACCUCACGUUGUAACAUAGGAUAGAAAAUAAAACAUACUUUUACAUUUCAUCAUCA